CGGCCGCGGUAUCCUAACCGUGCGAAGGUAGCGUAAUCACUUGUUCUUUAAAUGAGGACUAGUAUGAACGGCUUCACGAAGGCUAUACUGUCUCCCUUAUCUAAUCAGUUAAACUAAUCUCCCCGUGAAGAAGCGGGGAUUCACAUAUAAGACGAGAAGACCCUAUGGAGCUUAAAACACCUCUAAACAUUUGACCUCCACACUACUAUUUUCAGAAAUCUUCACAAAGCCCGUCAUUUUGUUUUAAGUUUUAGGUUGGGGUGACCGCGGAGAAUAACCUAACCUCCACGUAGAAAGAACUUUCUUUUCUAAGCAAAAAGCUACAUCUUUAUGCAUCAACAUAUUGACCUAAUUGACCCAAUUAUUUGAUC
rnacentral:rRNA from 1 species